rnacentral:rRNA from 1 species
UAAGGAAUAUUGGUCAAUGGAGGCAACUCUGAACCAGCCAUGCCGCGUGAAGGAUUAAGGCCCUCUGGGUUGUAAACUUCUUUUAUAUGGGAAGAAAUGUACUUUUUCUAAAGUGCUUGACGGUACCAUAGGAAUAAGCACCGGCUAACCCCGUGCCAGCAGCCGCGGUAAUACGGAGGGUGCAAGCGUUAUCCGGAUUUACUGGGUUUAAAGGGUGCGUAGGCGGAUGGUAAGUCAGGGGUGAAAUCCCACAGCUCAACUGUGGAACUGCCUUUGAUCCUGUCAGUCUAGAGUAUAGUUGAAGUUGGCUGAAUGUGUCAUGUAGCGGUGAAAUGCUUAGAUAUGACACAGAACACCGCUCGCGAAGGCAGCUAGCUAAGCUAUAACUGACGCUCAUGCACGAAAGCGUGGGGA